rnacentral:rRNA from 1 species
UACAGAGGGUGCGAGCGUUAAUCGGGAUUACUGGGCGUAAAGCGCGCGUAGGCGGUUUUGCAAGUCGGGUGUGAAAUCCCCAGGCUUAACCUGGGAACUGCAUUCGAGACUGCAUUACUAGAGUAUGGGAGAGGGAAGUGGAAUUUCCGGUGUAGCGGUGAAAUGCGUAGAUAUCGGAAGGAACAUCAGUGGCGAAGGCGGGUCUCUGGGCCGUAACUGACGCUGAGGAGCGAAAGCAUGGGGAGCGAACAGG